rnacentral:rRNA from 1 species
UACGUAGGUGGCAAGCGUUGUCCGGAUUUACUGGGUGUAAAGGGCGUGUAGCCGGGCUGACAAGUCAGAUGUGAAAUCCGGGGGCUCAACCCCUGAACUGCAUUUGAAACUGUUGGUCUUGAGUAUCGGAGAGGCAGGCGAAAUUCCUAGUGUAGCGGUGAAAUGCGUAGAUAUUAGGAGGAACACCAGUGGCGAAGGCGGCCUGCUGGACGACAACUGACGCUGAGGCUCGAAAGUGUGGGGAGCAAACAGG